UACGUAGGGGGCAAGCGUUGUCCGGAUUUAUUGGGCGUAAAGAGCGUGUAGGCGGCUUUACAGGUCCGUUGUGAAAACUCGAGGCUCAACCUCGAGACGCCGGUGGAAACCGUAAAGCUAGAGUCCGGAAGAGGAGAGUGGAAUUCCUGGUGUAGCGGUGAAAUGCGCAGAUAUCAGGAGGAACACCCGUGGCGAAGGCGGUUCUCUGGGACGGUACUGACGCUCAUGCACGAAAGCGUGGGGAGCAAACAGG
rnacentral:rRNA from 1 species